AUGAAGGAUCUAGGAGUAGCUGAUGUUAUCUUAAACAUCAAGCUGUUGAGAGAUGAGAAUGGUGGGAUCACACUGCUUCAGUCUCAUUAUGUGGAAAAGGUCUUGAGUCGUUUUGGGUAUAGCGACUGCACGCCUUCUCCAACUCCAUAUGAUGCUAGUGUGUUGCUUCGAAAGAAUCGACGGAUUGCUAGAGAUCAACUGAGGUAUUCUCAGAUUAUUGGCUCGCUUAUGUAUUUGGCGAGUGCCACGAGACCUGACAUCUCUUUUGCUGUGAGCAAGCUGAGUCGGUUUGUGUCAAAACCGGGAGAUGAUCAUUGGCAUGCGCUUGAGAGAGUUAUGCGCUAUUUGAAAGGCACCGCUAGCUAUGGGAUUCACUACACCGGGUAUCCAAGGGUACUGGAGGGUUAUAGUGACUCAAACUGGAUAUCUGAUGCUGAUGAGAUUAAGGCCACAAGUGGUUAUGUUUUUACACUUGGUGGUGGCGCUGUUUCCUGGAAGUCUUGCAAGCAGACCAUCUUAACGAGGUCAACUAUGGAAGCAGAACUCACAGCAUUAGACACUGCCACUGUUGAAGCAGAGUGGCUUCGUGAACUCUUGAUGGACUUACCUAUGGUUGAAAAACCAAUACCCCCUAUCCUGAUGAACUGUGAUAAUCAAACUGUGAUCGUCAAGAUAAACAGUUCUAAGGACAAUAUGAAGUCCUCAAGGCAUGUGAAGAGGAGACUAAAAUCUGUCAGAAAAUUGAGGAACUCCGGAGUUAUUACGUUGAAUUAUAUCCAAACGUCGAAAAACUUGGCAGAUCCCUUCACAAAGGGUCUAUCACGUAAUGUGGUAGAUAAUGCAUCGAUGGAGAUGGGUUUGAGACCCACCGCAUGA
rnacentral:rRNA from 1 species